GCAUUCAUUUUAGGAUCAUGCAUACUAUGAAAAUAAAUUUUUACCUAAUUCCUAGAAGAGUGAAAGUUGCUUUAAGAGCAAUUAAGCUUACCGUUAGAUAGGUUUGAAGGAUUGAAAGUUUUGGAUAAGUAUAAGGUUAUUAGAUUCUUGCCUGGGUUUACAUCUUCUUAGCCAAGGGUCACCCAAUCAAUUGCAUUGAGCUUGAGUGCUUAGAGCAAACUCUUGGUAAGAAGUAGCUAAUUGUGUCUCAUCAAUUCUAGAAUAAACGUUUUAGACCUUUCGAGGCCAAAUCCUAGCAUGUACUUGAAAAAGAAAUAAUAUAGGCAUUCUUUGGAUUUUUGAAUCCACAUUUUAGCCUUAACCAAUCUCACCUUAAAAUAUCCAUUUGGAGCUAAUUUAAACCUUCAUUUAUACCCUUUAUUUCCUUGGUACCAUAAUAUUACCUAGCCAUAAAUCCAAACACUAGCUACCUUUCAUGAGAAUGAUUGUUUAAGUGAUUGAUACACCAUAAAAAAAAAAAAAAGAAGAAAUAAUUGAAUGGGAGAAGUAAUUAAAGGAAAAAAAUGCUAGCCAUUGAGUGAUAAGAAGUAAAGAAAUUCACCACCCAAGUAUACAAAGAAAUGGGUUUUGGGGGUGAAUUAAAAAGGAACAAAUAAAUUUCAAGUCAAUGUUAUUUAUGUAGCAACUAAAAGAGUUUCAAAUUUCUGUGCUAGCAAUUGUUGAAUCACUGUAAAGUUCUUCCUCCCAUUUAAUUCAUAAAAAAAUUAAAUUAAAUUAAAUAAAAAAUAAAAAAAUAAAAUAAAAUAAAUAUGAUUUAACAAAAAACACUAAAUAGGGAACCAGUCCUCAUUGUUGCAGAGCAAAAGAAUUAGACAGUGAAAUCAGAAGCCGAUGAUGCCACAAAAGUGUUUAGUAGUAUGGAAUUGUUGGAGGAGGAGGAGAUGCGUAUGAUACUCCUACGAUUGGUGGGAGUGGAGUGUUAUCAACUGGAGGUGGUGAUGGUGGCGGUGGUGGUGGGGGUGAGGGAUUUGAAUACUCAGCAUGUGGAGGAGGAGGAGGAGGAGGUGGGCUUUGUUGAUGGAAUGAUGGUGGUGGACAAUGCCAUUGUUGUUGAGGAGGUGGGGGAAAUGGUGAGUGGUGAUAGCUUGGCGUAGAUGAUGGUGGUGGUGCUAAUGGUGAUGAGGGUGGAGAUGGUGGUGGUGAUCCUGGAAUUAUGCACCCAGUUGGUGGUAGAGGUGGUAGGGGAUGGAAUGGCUCUCGUGGAGGUGGUAAAGGUGGAGUCUUCACAUACGUUGGAGGUGGAGGUGGAGGUGGAGAUGGAGUUGCUGUUUUGGGAGGGUAAUGCUCUACUGGCGAUGGAACUGGAGCUGCGGAAUGCUCAUGAGUUGGAGGAGGAGAGGGUUUAUAUUCAUUCUUUGGUGGUGGCGGCGGCGGCGUUGCAUUGUGUUGAUAUGGGGGUGAAUGGUACUCGACAGGUGGUGGCGAUGGUGGUGCAUUGUAUUGAUAGGGAGGUGGGUGGUACUCGACAGGUGGUGGCGGUGGUGAUGCUUCAUGUUGAUAGGGAGGUGGAUGGUACUCAACUGGUGGCGGUGGCGGUGGUGGUGGGGGUGGAGCUUGAUGAGUACUUGGUGAAACCUUUUCUUUUGGCGGUGGUGGAGCGUAAGAAUGGUAAUGGCAUGGUGGAGGUGGCAGUGGUGGUGGUACGUGAUGAUAAGUAGGUGAUGAAUGCUCUACUGGAGGGGGUGGUGGUGGGAGACGUGUUUUGGGUGAGACCCUUUCAGUGGGUGGAGGCGGCGAAGGUGGAGGGUGGAAAGACGACCUCGUUGGGGGUGGUGGAGGAUGUGAUCUGCUAGAAGACGAAGACUUGGAAGUGGGUGGUGGAGGAGAAGGUUUAACAAACGGCCUUCUAGUAGGAGCAGGUUUUGGUGCUGACGGCCUUCCAACUGGAGGUCUUUUCCUUGGUGAAGGUGAGCCUCCUCUACCAGCACCGCCUUCACCGCUACCAGAACUUCCACCACAUUUGAACUUGCUACAAUCCACUGGACGUGCAGCUUCUGAAGAACACUCUUUAGCAGAUCUCUGAUCCAUCUUUCCAGGAAUGCAAUUCUUGGAACCAUUAGUGACCACCCUGCUUCCAAUAGCAGCACAACUUGGUGCUUCACCAGAGAAGUAGUUGAAAGAAUAGGUAAAGUUCUGCAAAUUAGGCAAUUGGCAGACACUAGCAGGAAUAGAACCAGUAAAACCAUUGUGUGCAAUAUCAAGUUGCUCAACCUUCUUCAAGUUACCAAUGGAAGAAGGCAGAGAGCCCUGAAGAUGAUUAAAACUCACAUCAAAAACUGUCACUUCCUUGAGCAUACCUAUCUGGGGAGGCAAGCAACCUGUGAGAUUAUCAUUCAGAAGGAUGAUCUCAUUAAGGGUUUUACCCAUAUUUCCAAUGCUACCAGGAAUGCAACCACCAAGAUUGUUGUUUGCAAGAACAAGAACAGAAACAGGAGAGUUACCAAGAUUCUGAGGAAUACCAAACUGGAAUCUAUUGUCGUUUAAAAAUACAGCAUCAAGUGGUUGAUCAAAGAGCUUGGAAGGGACAGAACCUUCAAAGUCAUUGAAUCUAAGAUCCAAAUAUUUGAGAGAAGGUAAAGACAGAACAACCUUGGGAAAUUUUCCCACAAAACGGUUGUUACUGAUGUCAAGCUCAUAGAGAAGCUUCAGUUUGCGGAAACUAGUAGGCACAACCCCACAAAAUCUGUUGGAGUUGAGAUGCAAUAGAGCUAGAUCUGUCAAGAGGCCAAGCUCUGGAGGGAGGUAGCCGGCAAUAUCACCAUGGUUGAGGUCAAUACCAGCAACCACCCUGAGUUUAGCAUUGUUAGGAGAAGGAGCACAAUAUACACCCAUGUAAGAGCACACAUCAGGACCAUUCCAGUUGGCUGUGAAGUUAAAAGGGUCAGAGAAAAUGGCUUGUUUCCAAGCUUGCAAAGCAAUGUAGGCUUGACGAAGCCUGGGAUUUUCAAACUGGAAGCUUGGAUCUACAUCUACAUCCAGAGAUUCAUCUUCAUGGGUUCCAGAAGAGAUCUGAAGAAGCAAAGCAAGGAAGAAAAGAAUAAAGAAGAAACGAAGAGAAGACAUUGAUUGCUUUGGUGGAGGCAGAAAUGGCAGCGAUUCACACGAAGGGAAAUGGAGAUUGUCUACCAUGUGCCAUGAAUGUGUCCAUACCCAUCUCCCCAUGCAUCCUUUUA
rnacentral:misc_RNA from 1 species